rnacentral:rRNA from 1 species
UCGAGGAUCUUCCGCAAUGGGCGAAAGCCUGACGGAGCGACACCGCGUGCAGGAUGAAGGCCUUCGGGUUGUAAACUGCUGUCACGCUAUAGGAAACCUCGGAUGUGAACAGCAUCCGAGCUGACUAAAGCGAGAGGAAGCACCGGCUAACUCUGUGCCAGCAGCCGCGGUAAUACAGAGGGUGCAAACGUUGCUCGGAAUCACUGGGCAUAAAGCGCAUGUAGGCGGUCUACUAAGUCUGGUGUGAAAUCCCUCGGCUCAACCGGGGAACUGCAUUGGAUACUGGUGGGCUCGAGAGUUGUAGGGGUGGACGGAACUCCAGGUGGAGCGGUGAAAUGCGUAGAUAUCUGGAGGAACACCGGAGGCGAAAGCGGUCCACUGGGCAACUUCUGACGCUGAG